rnacentral:rRNA from 1 species
CCUACGGGAGGCAGCAGUGAGGAAUAUUGGUCAAUGGACGAGAGUCUGAACCAGCCAAGUAGCGUGAAGGAUGACUGCCCUAUGGGUUGUAAACUUCUUUUAUAUGGGAAUAAAACGUUCCACGUGUGGGAUUUUGUAUGUACCAUAUGAAUAAGGAUCGGCUAACUCCGUGCCAGCAGCCGCGGUAAUACGGAGGAUCCGAGCGUUAUCCGGAUUUAUUGGGUUUAAAGGGAGCGUAGGUGGAUUGUUAAGUCAGUUGUGAAAGUUUGCGGCUCAACCGUAAAAUUGCAGUUGAAACUGGCAGUCUUGAGUACAGUAGAUGUGAGCGGAAUUCGUGGUGUAGCGGUGAAAUGCUUAGAUAUCACGAAGAACUCCGAUUGCGAAGGCAGUUCACUGGACUGCAACUGACACUGAGGCUCGAAAGUGUGGGUAUCAAACAGGAUUAGAUACCCUUGUAGUC